rnacentral:RNase_P_RNA from 1 species
CCAGCUGGCCGGGCGGCCGCGACUGUCACAUGCCGAAAGGCGGCAGGCGAGGAAAGUCCGGGCUCCAUGGAGACACGGUGCCGGAUAACGUCCGGCGGGGGCGACCCUAGGGAAAGUGCCACAGAAAGCAAACCGCCCCGUCAGCCUUUUUCGCCGAAGCGCGGCGCAAACCUUGGCGGGGCAAGGGUGAAAGGGUGGGGUAAGAGCCCACCGCAUGGCUGGCGACAGGCAUGGCAUGGCAAACCCCACCGGGAGCAAAACCGAAUAGGGAUGGCACAGGGCCGCUUGCGGUCCGGCUUUGUUUCCGAAGCGCCAUCCGGGUAGGUCGCUAGAGGCGGGCAGCAAUGUCCGUCCCAGACGAAUGGCCGCCACGCCGGAGCUCGGGCCCCGGCCGUACAGAACCCGGCUUACAGGCCAGCUGGUUCU